rnacentral:lncRNA from 1 species
AUGCAAGUUAUCUGUGAAAUUCAAGAAAAUUGCAUACCUAUCAGGCGCUACUUGACGAUGCGAGCGAAACAGACCACCAUGGGCACGUGUGGGGUUUUUUGGUUUUUUUUACCCUCUCAAAAUUUGAGGUGCAGGUUAUCUGCGGGCGUAUAUGGGGAAAAUGAGUUGACUCAAGAAUGGAUGGAAACAUGAGGACAUGCAGCACACACCAUUCAAGGCUUAUGAGCCAGCACCAAAUAUUACCUGAAUGAAUUGAGAGUACUCCUUUUAAAAUAUUACCUAAUUUUUUUGCCCCAACUAUGUGCAUUUAAAUUCAUUGUCAAACAAAUAGUUCGUAUUCGCAAAAGAAGAAUGUACAACUAUACACUCACUCAUCAAAGGCGAUUCUACAAUAUACAUUUUUAACAGUUUCAUCUAAACCUCUUUGUUAAUGAAGAGGUAGAAAUGUUCAUACAAUUAUGAAUAAUACAAAGAUGAUGAAUAUCGAAGGCUACAGUUUGAAAAAAUUUACGUCUGACUGCCAUAUUUUAAGUCUAUGCUUAUGUUUCAUCUUUAAAAAGGCAAGCAAACCUACAAUCAGACAGAUUUAAUCAAAAUGAACCUAACUGUAUUUCAAGUUGCCUAAUUUUCUCUCAAGGUUUAUUUUUAUAACAGAUAACUAAUGACUACUCGCAAAAUUUCCGUGAAUUUACGCUAGAUCAUGAAGAAUAUACUCACAAAAAUUUCAAGUUUCAGUGUUGCUUCGUUUUCUGUUUGAAAAAGUAAAACAUUAGAGAAAAUAGGUAGUUAGCCUGAUUUUAGUUAAAGGAAUGCAUUUUCACUUGAAAUUUUGAUUAAAUUUCUUCAUUGAUUCAAUGAUAUUCACACAUAUUUCAAGAUGUUUUGGUUAAUUUUCUACCAGAGCAGUAAAACAUGGAAACGCAUUUAUAAAGACUGCAAUGCAAGCCAUCGAUAUAAAGGCUCCACUUAAUUCUUCUUACCUUUCCUCUGGGAAAAACAAUUUGAAUGAAUUAUUAGCCAAUAUAUCAUGGAUUGAGACUUAUAAGAGACUUUCAUGUGCAUGCAGCAUACUAAUUAUUACUUAAAUGCAUGUUCUACCAUGUUAGAUAAAAUGCUACGAACAUUCCCUGACAGAACUGGCUGAUGUCAUAAAUUAAUUCUAUUGCUAUUUUCAGAAAAAUACUUUAGCGGUCAUUCCGACAUUAGGUCAUUUGCAGUUCUUUUUACGACAAUAAUGUGGGGGAAAAUUUACCAAAAGAAAAGAGAAGAGAAUUCUAAUUCAAAUAACUAACAAAAAACAUUAGCUUAAAGAUUCAAAAUCAAACGAGAGUAACUUGUAUAGUAAAAUAAAGAUCAUAUAACACAAUGCUACAAUGAUUCUUCAGUUUAAAAGCUAUUUAUACACCUACAAAACAAGUGAUUAAAAUUUUAUUUAACAAGGAAAAUCUCAGGGUUUAUCGUAAAAUGUUACAAAAGUGAAGCAGGUACAGCAUAUGUUAAACACUAAAAUCGAUCAAAGAAUUUUACUUAAAAAUAUUCACCAGCACUUACUGAAUUGCGCUUAGCAAAAGUCAAACAGAAUAAAAGCAUGCAAAAUUAAAAAUACAAAAGGUAACUUGGGCUCCUAUUUUGUGCAGUACCUUCCUACCAUUGUAGGCUGAUACUUCUUGAUGCAACUAAUUUUAAACUGUAAAUUAUCACAUCGCCUACAAAGAGAAGAGAUAUAAAUUUUGAUGGAGGCUUUGUAGAGGUUUCAACUCUUUGAAAAAUGUAUGCAGUUUCCAGAUAGAAACACAUGGCAUCAAACAACCACUAGACAAGGUGUGAAUCUAAGAGUUAUGCAGUAUGUUUUCCCAUCAAAAUUUCACAUGAAACACAAUUGGUGCGACAAAGAUCAUUGAGAGUAAAUCUUAACCAACAUAUCGACUUUUUCAAUGCAUGAAUUCAAACUUCCUGCUAAUGAAACACAAUGAUCUACUUGAGUUAAAUUGCACAAUAAACUUUAUCCUAACAGGCUCUGCAGUAUAAAAAAUGGCAAACUCAAUCUUGGCACUUGGUUCUGCUCUUGCAUAUUAUUUGCACUUUUAACAACACAAAGGGGGGGGGGGAGCACUGCUCAAUUAAGAAGCCAGCCGAAACUGUCGUAGAGUGUGAUUUCAUUAACAUACACUAUUUUCUUUUGAGCAGGAAAUUUAAAUGUUUCAUAACCAGUGAUAAAUAAAAUGCUCAUAUUUUGUUAAGAUUUGAUUCCGGUGAUCUAGUUGCCCAAAUCACAUUUCACCUGAAGUUUUGGAGAGGAAACGUAUAUAAGAAUGCUUAAAUUCGUACCUCACUUAGAAGUCCACAUUGUGAUGAAUCGGUGGAUUUUGCCUUUCAUUUUUUCAUGGCCAGAAGAUACUGCGCAAAAAUAAUAUAGGAGCCAUGGCUUUAAAUUCUGAAGAAGAAAAUUUAAUAUUGGAGCCUUCAAGUAAUGUUCAGCCUCGGUUCUAUCACCUCUAGUUAUGCGCUUAACCUCUCACAAAAGUUCGACCAGCACUCUGAGUACCUGAUAAUGUUGUCAAAAGAUCGGGGUCCUUGAUUUCAAAUGUCUCUCCAGAACCAACAAAGUAAUACAGACGAUUGAAUUUACUAUGCAAGCCCUAAAAUUGUCAAAAAUAGCUUUUAAAAUUUUGCUUUGACAAGAGGUUAAAUUUGACCAGAGGUGGUAGAUAUUGCUCUUAGAGAGUUAAAAAGCAGAUAGUGAAUACUUAACUCAACACAACAAAAUAAAACUACAAUUUAAACUCAAGGGACAAAAAUAAACAUUUAAAAAAAAGAAGAAAUAAAGUAAAACAUUCAUUGAAAACUGAACGAAGAGAAAUAAAAAUUUUCGGUCGGAUGUUUGAAGAAGGUAAAAAAGUAAUUGGGAAAAAAAGAAUUUGGAGAACAAAAAGUACCGCUAAAAAGGACAGGAGGGUAAAAAUGUGAGACGAUUUUGAAACAAGGUAAAAAAACUCACGCUAAUGUGAAAAUGUCAUUUCUGUUUCCCACUUUUUUCAAGUGCACACUAUUUUAUGAUUUCAUUUUGAGUCUUUUUCACUACAAAUGGGCCACUUUACAAGGUCUGAGCUAGAGAAAAUGUCACAUGCUUUCUCUUUAUAAUCUUACAUUGAAAACAAUGCACACUAUGAGAAACUCAGAAAUUAAUACCAAUGAAUAUUCGUAACACAGAUCAAAUGAAAGAUAGAUUAUACAAAUAAUGUCAUUUGUAUUUUUGAUUUAACCAGUGGUAAUUGCGAACACUUUUAUCUUGUUCAGGAGUCAAUUUCUGGAUGCCUCAUUGUGUAGGUCAUUUUUCUCUAAAAUAUUAAAAUGAAAAUAUAUCGUGUAGUACUUUUAUUCAUACUUCGUCUAGUAGCUCAUCAUCAUUUCUUUGGUGCUAUACUGAAAGUUUAUCAUCUCUGCUGAUAAGAGAUUUGUGUACUCUCUAAAGAAUAACCAAUUGGAACGUUUCUCAGUGGCAACAUUUCGAGAAAAUGUUGUUUAAAUAAAUAUUUUGGAAAGAAGGAAACAGAAAAAAAGGAUGAAAAAAUAAAGCUCUACUUCAACUUUAAAAGUAUCAUACGUUAAUCAGUACAGACAUACACCAGAAUUUUUGCCACAAGCUAAAUAUUAGCUUUAAAGGACGAGGAGCAAUUUAAAGUGACCUUCUGAUGGAACAGAUAAAAAAAUAAGGAAUCCGCUCACUAACUGAUUGCACUUCAUGUUACAUAUGUAAGAAUAUGUAAUAAAAAUCCAUCACUCGGAGUCACAGGAGACUGCAGGAGGGAUUGAAAAUUUACCUGUUUAACUUAAAAAUUUAGCAGUCCUCCACUCUCAAGUAAAUAGAGAGUG